rnacentral:tRNA from 1 species
UUAGAAGUAAGUUAAUUAAAAACUGUAGACCUGUGGAGCCUACAAUCCAUUUUUGGCUUUUGAG